GAUUUUUCAAAUCAGCAAACACAUUUUCUCAGCUCAAGAUAAUGGGUCAUCUUCUUCCUUAGAAACCUAAGGCAUGGAAAUUUUCAAUCCUCCAUAACUUCUUCAUUUGUAAUCGGUUUUGCGUGAUUCUCGUGGCUACGGAAAGAGGAGAAGGAGAGCUUUCAAUAUAUUCCAGAAAAUCAAGACUUGACGAGAUGACUACCAAUGGAACCCGAAACUUACGGAACGCGAGAUCGCUAGAUAUUAUCGAAGAUUAUGGAUAGCAAGCGUGUGUUUUUCAGGUACCUAGAUUCUAGACGUGGCUAGAAUUUUGCCUUUAACCGGAAGUUCCUUUGGCUAUGUACAACCCCGACUUCCGUAGAUGCUGCAGUAGUAUGAUGUCUGACCAGUGUCGUGGCCUAUUACAACAGUGAAAUUUUAUAUGGUUUAUAGUUGAUGUCUGUUGUGUAUAUGAGGUCUGUCUACAAUAGUUAUCACGGAGGUAAAUUCCCGUGAUGUAAUUUUGACAUAGUGGUUUAUGCCGGGCUAAUACGUUCAUGAUACGGAAACGAUAAGUCCGAGCACGUUGUAUGGUUUUACCACUGUAUAUAAAUGUAUCUUUGUUUAAA